rnacentral:rRNA from 1 species
CCCUUAGAUGCUCUGGGCCGCACGCGUGCUACACUGAGUGGAUCAGCGGGUCAGGUUGCGCGAAAGUGUUUCCUAAUCUUUAAAUCCGCUCGUGAUGGGGAUUGACGGUUGCAAUUUUCCGUCAUGAACGAGGAAUACCUUGUAAGCGCGGGUCAUCAUCCCGCGCUGAAUACGUCCCUGCCCUUUGUACACACCGCCCGUCGCUCCUACCGAUUGAGUGGUCCGGUGAGGCUUUGGGAUCUGAGCGGAAAGAGCGUUUCGCUGUUUCUGCCCGGAAAACUCAGUCGAACCUUAUCAUUUAGAGGAAGGAGAAGUCGUAACA